GCCGGAGUGGCGGAAUGGCAGACGCGCUGGACUCAAAAUCCAGUGGGCUUCGGCCCGUGUGGGUUCAACUCCCACCUCCGGUACCU
rnacentral:tRNA from 1 species